GAGCAUAUGAUGAGACAUUUAUCACACAUAGCUGAUAAAUCCAUGAAGCUUCAAAAUUCGAGCUUUUUAAAACUGAUGCUCA